rnacentral:rRNA from 1 species
UACGUAGGGACCAAGCGUUGUUCGGAUUUACUGGGCGUAAAGGGCGCGUAGGCGGCGUGUUAAGUCACUUGUGAAAUCUCUGAGCUUAACUCAGAACGGUCAAGUGAUACUGAUGUGCUAGAGUGCAGAAGGGGCAACCGGAAUUCUUGGUGUAGCGGUGAAAUGCGUAGAUAUCAAUAGGAACACCUGAGGUGAAGACGGGUUGCUGGGCUGACACUGACGCUGAGGCGCGAAAGCUAGGGUAGCAAACGGG